UGGGGAAUUUUGGACAAUGGGGGCAACCCUGAUCCAGCCAUGCCGCGUGCGGGAAGAAGGCUUCGGGUUGUAAACCGCUUUUGUCAGGGAAGCGGUACCUGAAGAAUAAGCACCGGCUAACUACGUGCCAGCAGCCGCGGUAAUACGUAGGGUACAAUCGUAAGAGGUAAUUAGGGGACGUAAAGCGUGCGGAGGUGGUUGUG
rnacentral:rRNA from 1 species